rnacentral:lncRNA from 1 species
CCAGGCGACAAACCAUUAAACCCAAUUCCAAGUUCAAUAACCUACACUGAACUGCCUCCUCAUUUCCCUCAUUAUUUGUAAUUAGUUCUCACCUCCCUUUUCUUCCUAAUAAAAGGCCGAACCAGCAAGUGUCCUCUUUUCAUUACAAUAUGAGAAGACUAGAUAAUAAUUUUUCUUUUGUUUUUCAAGAAUGCUGGAAGCAGUCAUGGCACAACCAUAAAACCAACCAUAUUAAGUAAAUUCAGUGCCUAACAUCCUACAUGUAGUAAGUUGCACUCAGUUAAUACAUAACAAACCACUGGCCUCUAAUUCCCCCACAUUCAUCC